UUCCAUUUAAGAGUGAUUAAUGGAUAAAACCAGAACUACUAACUCAUGACUUUACCUCAUUCCCUCAGACUACCAAUGCAACUGGUUUGACCAAGAGAAGUCAAAAGCCGCCAAUACUUGAAGCCUCCUGGAGAAUGAAGAACCCUUAUAGCCUUCAAAAGGUAGGAGAGAACCAGACUGGAAGACAGACUCAGACACUAAAAUCCAUGAGGGUGUCUGAAGAAAAGUAUGCGAGGGUAGUCAUAAUGGGAUAGCAGUAUUUUAGGUAAUCUCUUGAAGGAACACCUUGGAGUGGAUUCUAGAGUUCGAUGCAGAUGUGCGGAGCAUAAGAACUACCCUUUUCCCUGGGACAGGCCACUUCCUCUUUCACGUGCACAGCAUAACCUCUCCUAUCCUAUCAAAAUGGGAAGAAGCUAUCACCAAGGUUUACCUCCAAAUACUUCUGCACCCUGCCAAAGUCUGACAUUCACUAGUGGGAUAUUUCUCUCAAUCAAGAGAUUAUGGAAUAGUAGAAUUAACAAAGACAUUUCAGUUGUACAACUGGCAAGUACAAUAAAUACUUUGGCACCAAAGCAUUUCAUCUAAACCCACUGCCUGCACAGAUCCUCAUGUUUUGCCUGCCAACCUGAGACAAAAAUGGGAAGGAAGCAAAACAUUGGAGAAAAACAUGGUCUGACACAGACAGACUUGGACACAAAGAAUUCUUCUUAACUUAUGCUGCAGUGCAGACUAGUAUGGCUUAGUUGUUGUCGGCUACAAAGGCAGCAAAGUCUCAGCACUUAGCUUUUUUGGAGAACAAAUCGCUGUGUAACAAUGCCUUCAUGCAACAUCAGAACCUGUCAGUGACUGGGUGUGAGUGGUAUGGCCUAAUGGUUGGAGCAAGUGUCUGGCUUACCAAUUAGAGUUAGAUCUAGAUGGGGUGGAUUCAGGAGCAAGAUUAAGGGUUAGAGCCAGAAGUCAGAAGCUGAAGUCGAAGGGUUAAUCUGGGUCACAGUCAGAAAGUGAAGCCAAGGGACUGUAGGGUGACCAGAUGACAAAAACAAAAUAUUGGGACACAUGGGGGGAGCAGGGUGCCGCUGAAACGCUCCCCUCGCCCCCACCCCAAAAAAAGCCAAAGCGCCACCGAGGCAGUCUAAUGUUUAACCGACUCAAAACAAAGUGUUUUGUGUCAGUUCAACAAACUGAAAUAUUUCAUGGUUCAUUAUUUUCUCCUGAUAUUUCUAGACUAGAGUGUAUUCCAUCCUCCCUUCCAAGAUCCCAUGGAUACUCCAUGAAAGGUAGGGAACCUGGUGUAGAAAGUAAUUAAUAUCUCUGAAAUGUCUGAGAGGUUAGGAGGCAAGAAAUAAUUAGCAGUGAAAGAAGCAAAAGUAGAUGGUUAAUACGACACCUUGAGCCAGAUCCUCAUUUGGUAUAAAUCAGUCUACCUCCAUUGACUUCAACUGAGCAAUGCCAGUUUACACUAGCUGAGGAUCUGUCCUUUAUAUUUAUUAUAUCAUCUUUCAACCCACUGAAAGGGAUGAUCAAAGGUAGGAUCCUUGGCCCCACAGGCAGAGAGUACCAAAAUAUAAAAGUGGUGAAAUGCUAUGGCCUAUGCUAUGCAGGAGGUCAGUGUAGAUGAUCAUUAUGGUCUCUGCUGGUUUUAAAUUUUAUGAAUAUAUCAGGCAAAGGCAGAGUAGCAGUCAGGGUUAUAGGACACAGCUAAUAGCUGAAGUGCAGCCACCUGCCAUGUGGGACAGAACUGGAGGACAAGUUUUUCUGGGGAAGGGGUGAGACUUAAGGUAGGAGGAAAAAUUUGUAAGGCAAUCCCCAAGUUUUGGCGGAUUCAGGACUUGUUUAUUCUUCUUCCAACUCUGCCAGGAACAUUCCAAACUUAUUUGCAAACUAUAUACAGUUUUUAGGGAUUACUCAUCAACUACUGAAAUCCUCUACGUCAAGGGUGAACACAGCAUCUGUUCUGUGCCAGCAAUAUUACCCAAUUGUAUUUAGCUGUUGGAGGAACUUAAACUAAACAUGCAAGAAUCCUGCUGGGAUACAAGAUUGUUGAUCUUUAUUAGUGUUUAAAAUGUCCCCACCCUUUUAACAGAUUCAGCAACAUCAACUGGUACUCGCAGGUAGCCUCUGGAGAUAUAGGUUCUUAUUACCCUUACCCUUAUCCUCUCUGUCACUGGUUGCAUCUUGUCUUGAAUGAGAUUUUAAGCUCAAAGGCAGAGAUCAUGUCUUUCUGUGUGUCUCUAUCAUGCUUAACCCAACAAGGCACCAAACAGGGCCAUGACUGGAACUUUCUCUUUGUA